ensembl:lncRNA
GCUUUAACUAUGCAAUGAGAUGUUUCCUCUGUCAUAUAUAUGCACUUAUUAAGCUCUCAUUGGAUUCUAAUAUGCAUGCAAAUAGUCAAGAGUUUCUUAAGGCUAAUACUACACUAUGUAGAUUGUAGUGCCAUUAAGUCACUACAAAGAUGUAGCCCGCAGCAAACUUAGAAGGCUCCUUUUCCUGUGAGUGUAGGCGAGGCUCUAUUUCUCCUUUUUGUGCUCUGCUUAAACCUAAAGGAGGAAUUCCCUCUCCGUAGCUUCGUUGCCUUUCAUCUGACGGAUACUCCACGCGACAGCGCGUUUUAAGGCUUUAUCCUUACAGAACUAUCCCAAAAACGCACUUGUGCUGUACAAGGAAGAUUGCAACGUUCUCAAUUCAGCAUUUCCAAGUCGGUUUGUAAUCCAUCCCCACCCCUACUCCUUCCUCCGCGCGGCCCGUUUGAAAGCCCCCGGUAUCUCCUGUGUUUCUGCAUGUUCUUUUACAGUACGGCGCUGUCAUUUAAUUACGAGACAAUCCACCACAACUGAGCAAGCAUUUUCAUCAUUGAUAAUGUUGGUAGCAGGCAACUGAGACAAAAUGAUUACAAACCUAUGUUGCGCUCAAUAGUCCUUUAGAGGAUUUCUCUCUUAAUAGCGCUGCCUCAUUCAUGUUUGGUUCAGUACAUUUGUUCUUUAAAAAAGGCAUAGAUUAGAAGAGUUUCAGGGUAGGUUAAUAACUCAACUGAAAAUGGCUGCUCGCAUUGUCAAAGUCUGUUCCUGCAGUUGCCUGGUGCUUUCUUCAGUUCUUCCACACUGCAGCUUUGGCCCAGUUGGUAAACAGCUUAAGUCCAGACAUCUUUUCAUUCUCUGCGCAGCGGAUUGAAAUAAAAAUGCAUAUAAGUGGCGACUGACUGGCGCUGGCCUGACAAUAGCCUGUAACAUUAUGCAAGGGUAUUUACAUAGGAAUAAGGCCUUGGUAAAGAAGACAGGGGCAAUUAAUGACUAGGGCCACACAUAUAAGGAAAGUUUGUCCAAUCCUUUCUUCAAUAAAGAUCUUUUGUAAAGUGCUAUGGAAACUCAUGGAGGCCCCCAAACAGAUUAGGAGAGGGACUUUUGUGGUGUGUUUUUUGUUGUGUUUUUUUUUUUUUUUUUUUCUUUUCUUAAACUUGAAGCUAAAAGGGCCAAAUUCUGUAAAGGUAAAAUGUAAUUCUUCUGCAGUUUAGGUUUUUUUUUUUCUAUUGUGACUCCCCCACACCGCCUUUUUUUCCCCUACAGGAACCAAUUGAGCGCAGCUACUUUCACAGGAGGAAGCACGGGAGAAAAAGAAAGCAAGCAAGUAGUGUACCUCCACCAGGGAGCACGGUGGAGGCACAGGGCUUGUAGGAGACCUGUCACGAAGCUUGACUCCUUCUGCUCACACAGGUUUGGCAUUUAAGCUAAUUUGUAAGCAUUUAGGGCCUGACUCUGAUCUCCCUUUCACCGCUGACUGGAGCUGUCAAAGCACUUCCCAGCAGAAGUAAGGGUUCAGCUCAAGGCUUGUGGAUACCAAUGAGUCCACUUCUAUUUCCCUAGGGGACACCAGCCCAAAUCACCACGAGCCAAAGACAGCACAAAAAUCCUAGUCAGUGAGGCCUGUUUCAAUGGCCAGUGAGGCCUACUCUAGUGAGUCUCAGGCUUGAGACUUGCAUGGCCCUGCUGAGGACCUCAUUUUCCAUGGCUGGCUAUGGUACAUCUGUUGAUGGCAACUUGAACAUGUCCACACCAGUUAAGCAGUUCCAUUUUCAGGCUCAGACAUUGGUGUUCAAAGACUUUGUUCUUAUUCUAAUGACUGAUAGAGGACCUCUGUUUGGGUUGAUGCUGCAGUCUUUUAAGCACACUUUCCAGAAAGCUGUAGGUCUCUAUUUUGAGAGCAGAGCAGAGAUCCUACUGCUGAACCCAUCAUAUAUAUCCAAGAAGACAACACUUUGGUGGACAUCAACACAUUGCCAGGGCUCCUGCUUCCCAGGCGAGGAGGAUGCUCGUGGCAGCUGACAAAGGCACGGGGAGUGCCGAUGCUGCAAGCCAUGAAUGAGACGAAGGUAUCCCAGAAUACCCCGGACAUCGGGCCGUACUUCCUGCUGGCUGGGAAGGACAAAAGGACAAAGCCAAAGGAGUGCCGGGGUCCCACCACCAGCUCUUGGAGGCACCAGUCUGCUACCAACAGCACUCCAACCCUCGGAGAAUGCUAAUAAGCCACUGAAGAGCUCGGCUUUCCUGCCAUAAUUCUAUAGCGCCGUCGAGGACCCCAUAGUGUUCACUAAAUAAAGACAACUAAUUGAGAAUUUUUUGCACAUUUUGCUCUGUGGACUUGCUGUUCAGGCGGUUCGUUGGGGAGAAUGUCCCCCUACUGACAACAGGGGCCGAUUGUUUUGGCAGCCGCCGGGUUAGCGCGAGUUCCCGGCUCUGGGGCUGACUUUCCAAGUAUGACAAAAAUGUUUAAUUUUGGAGUUGUUUUUUUUUUUUUUUUUUUUAAUUACGUGGCUGAGAAUUAUUUUGGCUUUGUGGAGAAUAGGCCGUCUGGUGGUCAUGUAAAAAGGAAUAUUGCUGGCAUGGAUUCUCAGUAUUAAACCUUUGGUCUUUCUCCCUCUUUAUUUCCCCUCUCUCACUCUUUUUCCCCCUCUCUCCCUCA